rnacentral:rRNA from 1 species
GGAUAACCUGCCCUUGGGUCCGGCAUAACCCCGGGAAACUGGGAAUAAUACCGGAUAACGCACAUAUGCUGGAAUGCUUUAUGCGUAAAAUGGAUUCGUCUGCCCAAGGAUGGGUCUGCGGCCUAUCAGGUAGUAGUGGGUGUAAUGUACCUACUAGCCUUCAACGGGUACGGGUUGUGAGAGCAAGAGCCCGGAGAUGGAUUCUGAGACAUGAAUCCAGGCCCUACGGGGCGCAGCAGGCGCGAAAACUUUACAAUGCGGGAAACCGUGAUAAGGGGACACCGAGUGCUAGCAUCAUAUGCUGGCUGUCCAGGUGUGUAAAAUACACCUGUUAGCAAGGGCCGGGCAAGACCGGUGCCAGCCGCCGCGGUAACACCGGCGGCCCGAGUGGUGAUCGUGAUUAUUGGGUCUAAAGGGUCCGUAGCCGGUUUGGUCAGUCCUCCGGGAAAUCUGAUAGCUCAACUAUUAGGCUUUCGGGGGAUACUGCCAGACUUGGAACCGGGAGAGGUAAGAGGUACUACAGGGGUAGGAGUGAAAUCUUGUAAUCCCUGUGGGACCACCUGUGGCGAAGGCGUCUUACCAGAACGGGUUCGACGGUGAGGGACGAAAGCUGGGGGCACGAACCGGAUUAGAUACCCGGGUAGUCCCAGCCGUAAACGAUGCUCGCUAGGUGUCAGGCAUGGCGCGACCGUGUCUGGUGCCGCAGGGAAGCCGUGAAGCGAGCCACCUGGGAAGUACGGCCGCAAG